AGCAGCAGCCGCGGGAAUACGUAGGGUGCAAGCGUUAAUCGGAAUUACUGGGCGUAAAGCGUGCGCAGGCGGUUAUAUAAGACAGAUGUGAAAUCCCCGGGCUCAACCUGGGAACUGCAUUUGUGACUGUAUAGCUAGAGUACGGCAGAGGGGGAUGGAAUUCCGCGUGUAGCAGUGAAAUGCGUAGAUAUGCGGAGGAACACCGAUGGCGAAGGCAAUCCCCUGGGCCUGUACUGACGCUCAUGCACGAAAGCGUGGGGAGCAAACAGGAUUAGAUACCCCCGUAGUCCCUGUCUCUUAUAC
rnacentral:rRNA from 1 species